GGACCCGCACAAGCGGUGGAUGAUGUGGUUUAAUUCGAUGCAACGCGAAAAACCUUACCCACCUUUGACAUGUACGGAAUCCUUUAGAGAUAGAGGAGUGCUCGAAAGAGAGCCGUAACACAGGUGCUGCAUGGCUGUCGUCAGCUCGUGUCGUGAGAUGUUGGGUUAAGUCCCGCAACGAGCGCAACCCUUGCCAUUAGUUGCUACGAAAGGGCACUCUAAUGGGACUGCCGGUGACAAACCGGAGGAAGGUGGGGAUGACGUCAAGUCCUCAUGGCCCUUAUAGGUGGGGCUACACACGUCAUACAAUGGCUGGUACAAAGGGUUGCCAACCCGCGAGGGGGAGCUAAUCCCAUAAAGCCAGUCGUAGUCCGGAUCGCAGUCUGCAACUCGACUGCGUGAAGUCGGAAUCGCUAGUAA
rnacentral:rRNA from 1 species